rnacentral:lncRNA from 1 species
CUCCUUCUUCUAUUGCAAGUAGAACAUAAUCCUCCAAAUACUUUGGCUUGACGCUUUGACGUUCUGAUCUUCUUAAAGUGGGCUGAGAUAUAUCUUCGGUGAUGUCAUCUUGAGCCGCGGGAAGGUCAUCUUCAUCUAUAGGCUCUGUAUCAGGACCAUGAUUCUCUCCGUCUUCAUCCUUAUUGCUUUCAUCUUGGUUACCGUGGUUUAUAGCAGUUUCUUGAAGCCUACGAUUCCCAUAUGUGCUCAUUGUAAGCGUGAAUUCCUCAUCAGGUCUCUGGUCUUUAGAGAUCUUACUCCAAUC